rnacentral:rRNA from 1 species
UUGAUCCUGGCUCAGAAUCAACGCUGGCGGCGUGCCUCAGACAUGCAAGUCGAACGCGAAAGUCCCCUUCGGGGGAUGAGUAGAGUGGCGCACGGGUGAUUAACACGUAGGUAAUCUACCUUCGGGUGGGGAAUAACCCAGGGAAACUUUGGCUAAUACCGCAUAAUGCAGCGGCACCACAUGGUGACAGUUGUUAAAGUGGGGGAUCUUCGGAUCUCGCGCCUGAAGAGGAGCCUGCGGCAGAUUAGCUAGUUGGUAAGGUAACGGCUUACCAAGGCGACGAUCUGUAGCCGGCCUGAUAGGGCGGUCGGCCACACUGACACUGACAUACGGGUCAGACUCCUACGGGUGGCAGCAGUCGGGAAUUUUGGGCAAUGGGCGAAAGCCUGACCCAGCAACUCCGCGUGAAGGAUGAAAUCCUUCGGGAUGUAAACUUCGCAAGAGUGGGAUGAAUUAGUAGGGGCUAAUACCCCCUAUGAUGACGGUACCAUUUGUAAGCUCCGGCUAACUCCGUGCCAGCAGCCGCGGUAAUAAGGGCGU